UCUCUCUCUUUCCCUAUCACGUUUUCACUCCCCCUCUCUGUCUAACCCUAAAAAUACGUCGUCGAUAUCACCAUCAUUGCAGGGAGUCAUCGUCGCCGCCAUCCUUAAUCAGUACUGUCAUCACCGUCGCCACCGUCCCUAAUCAGUACUGUCGUCGCCGUCGCGUCCACAGCCAAUCAUUUGAGGAUUAUGUGCCCACUGUGUUCGACAAAUUCAGUGCAAAUGUAGUUGUCAAUGGAGCCACUGUCAAUCUAGGGUUAUGGGAUACUGCUGAUGGCAGGUGAAAAGAGGAGUAAGAAAACAAAGAAAGCUAAGGAGACGGGGGUUCCCCGGAGACCACCAGAAAACCUUGCGAUUAGAGAUAGAAGCCCGUCGCCACGUCUCCCACCACGCAGCGCUCCAUUGCCUCAUGAUCCCCUCAUGAAUGGCAUUUCAUAUAGUCUUCCACCUCCAUAUGAUUUGUGGAUUGUGUAAGUGUUUUGUCGAUGUUUGCGAGGGGUGAAGUAGUCUAAUGUUGUAUACUAACUUAGUGUAAACUAGUUUAAUGUUUUGUGGAUGUUUACAAUUGUUGAAGUAGUUUAGUGUUGUUUUGAUGUUUGCGAAAGUUGAAGUAGCUUAAUGUCUCUUGUGAAUGUUUGAUUGAUGUUUUUAUUCAACUUUGAAGUAGUUUCGAAUUGAAUUUGAUGAAUUGGUGGUUGUAAUAUAUGUGUUGUAAUAGUAGCUUAAUGUUUUACGUAUUUAUAGUAGUUUGGUGUA